rnacentral:snRNA from 1 species
GGAUGUGAGGGAGAUCUGGCCGCGACAUCUGUCACCCCACUGACUACCAGGGUUGAUUCGGCUGAUCUGGCUGGCUAGACAGGUGUCCCCUUCCUCUCUCAAUGCUCCAUGUGCGUCCCUCCCGAAGCUGCACACUCCGUCGAAGAGGACAACCACCCCCGAUAGAGGAGGACCAUCGCUCGGUCAAGGGUAUACGAGUAGCUGCGCUCCCCUGCUAGAACCUCCAAACAAGCUCUCAAGAAUUGUGGCUCACAACAGAUUAGAUCCAAAAAGUAUAUCACCCACACUUGUGCCUGUGUUUGCAGUAGGGU